AACUCAACACACUCAAACCUUUUUCACUGCCCUCGCGCGCAGUAAAAGGAAAACCCUUUUCACAAAACGGGUGACGUUUUCGUCCAUUCUCCGUAAUACAAACCACGCUUAAGCCUCCGAAGUGCGAGCAUACAAGCAGCGUUUAAUACGAGAAUGCGACUUAGAUGUCAUGCGUCUAAAAGCAACCAACCCACAAACAUUUUUUACCCUGAACUACGAAACCCUGAUUUUCCCAUUGCACCUGGGAAUACGUAGGAGCGAGAUUCAACAUCUUGUCGGGCAUAAUAAAAAACAAAAACCUUUUCCCCCAUAUUAAAUACCAAGAUAAUGAAAAUAAAACUUUUUCCGUCAAUGAAGCAAGAAAACAAGUAAUCAAGCAAACAUUAAAAAACACAUUAAAGCAAACAAACAAUUUCCCUCUAAAAGGUUCCCGUUG
rnacentral:lncRNA from 1 species